rnacentral:rRNA from 1 species
AUUGAACGCUGGCGGCAUGCCUUACACAUGCAAGUCGAACGGCAGCACGGGAGCAAUCCUGGUGGCGAGUGGCGAACGGGUGAGUAAAGUAUCGGAACGUGCCCAGUCGUGGGGGAUAACGUAGCGAAAGUUACGCUAAUACCGCAUACGAUCUAUGGAUGAAAGCGGGGGAUCGCAAGACCUCGCGCGAUUGGACCGGCUGAUAUCAGAUUAGGUAGUUGGUGGGGUAAAGGCCCACCAAGCCGACGGUCUGUAGCUGGUCUGAGAGCACGACCAGCCACACUGGGACUGAAGCCGUGCCCAGACUCCACCGGGAGGCGGCAGUGGGGAAUUUUGGCCAAGAGGCGAAAGCCUGAUCCAGCCAGGCCGCGUGCAGGAUGAAGGCCUUCGGGUUGUAAACUGCUUUUGUACGGAACGAAAAGGACUGCCCUAAUACGGUGGUCCCAUGACGGUACCGUAAGAAUAAGCGCCGGCUAACUACGUGCCAGCCGCCGCCGUAAGAC